rnacentral:rRNA from 1 species
GAUGAACGCUGGCGGCGUGCCUAAUACAUGCGAGUCGAGCGAACGGACGAGAAGCUUGCUUCUCUGAUGUUAGCGGCGGACGGGUGAGUAACACGUGGAUAACCUACCUAUAAGACUGGGAUAACUUCGGGAAACCGUAGCUAAUACCGGAUAAUAUUUUGAACCGCAUGGUUCAAAAGUGAAAGACGGUCUUGCUGUCACUUAUAGAUGGAUCCGCGCUGCAUUAGCUAGUUGGUAAGGUAACGGCUUACCAAGGCAACGAUGCAUAGCCGACCUGAGAGGGUGAUCGGCCACACUGGAACUGAGACACGGUCCAGACUCCUACGGGAGGCAGCAGUAGGGAAUCUUCCGCAAUGGGCGAAAGCCUGACGGAGCAACGCCGCGUGAGUGAUGAAGGUCUUCGGAUCGUAAAACUCUGUUAUUAGGGAAGAACAUAUGUGUAAGUAACUGUGCACAUCUUGACGGUACCUAAUCAGAAAGCCACGGCUAACUACGUG